rnacentral:rRNA from 1 species
AUACGGAGGAUGCGAGCGUUAUCCGGAUUUAUUGGGUUUAAAGGGAGCGUAGGUGGGAUAUUAAGUCAGCUGUGAAAGUUUGGGGCUCAACCUUAAAAUUGCAGUUGAUACUGGUUUCCUUGAGUACGGUACAGGUGGGCGGAAUUCGUGGUGUAGCGGUGAAAUGCUUAGAUAUCACGAGGAACUCCGAUCGCGAAGGCAGCUCACCGGGCCGGAACUGACACUGAUGCUCGAAAGUGCGGGUAUCAAACAGGAUUAGAUACCCUGGUAGUCCGCACAGUAAACGAUGAAUACUCGCUGUUUGCGAUACACGGUAAGCGGCCAAGCGAAAGCGUUAAGUAUUCCACCUGGGGAGUACGCCGGCAACGGUGAAACUCAAAUGAAUUGACGGGG